rnacentral:lncRNA from 1 species
GUUUUAAACAGUAGAACCAUACAGUUUCUGUGCGUGUUUCUGAAUGUUUAAAUUAAUAAGACCUCACAUAUUAUGUAGUAUUAUGCCCUGCUUAUUGAUUGACAUUAAUUUUUACAGUUCUUGGACAUGUAAAGCUUUAACUGAACAUAUUUAUUGUAUUUACAGGGACAACGCCAACACCAACGCCAACACCAACACCAACACCAACGCCAACACCAACACCAACGCCAACACCAACACCAACGCCAACACCAACACCAACACCAACACCAACGCCAACACCAACACCAACACCAACGCCAAUAACAACACCAACACCAACAACAAUAACAACACCAACAGCAAUACCAACACCAUCGGCAAUAACAACACCAACGCCAAUAAUAACACCAACAUCAACCCCAGCACCAAUUGUGGACAUCGAUUUAGUUAUUGAUCUGAGUGUCCCAGUCUCCAGUAUAAAACCAAAGGACUUCUUUAACCUCAUCAGGAGCACGCUGAGCAAUUUAAUGUUGCCCUUCAAUAUCACUCAGUCUUUAAAUGUAACCAGCGUGAAUUUCACAACAGGUGAGAACUUAUUGUACACUUGCUUGUUUUCCUUCUGAAUCGGUGUCACUGAUUUACUGUAGUUUAAUCAAAUACUGUAGUAUUGUUGUUUUUGUGAACACUGUGGCUUGAUGUGUUUUCAUAUUUCUUUAGAGUGCUAUCCAGACACUACUAACCAAACACUGUGUCAGUGUGAGGACCAGUUUGCUUGGCCAUGCAGCAAGUGUAAACACUAUGACGCAUGCAGUAAUACCAGCACUGAACCCUGCGGAUGUACUGAUGCGAUUCCAGAUGAUGGGCAGUUCUGUGUACCAAUCACAAGUAAGCAUCAAUGCUCUUUAGCUGUGAAAAGCAAAUCUCCACUGUGUCUGACCAUGUUUAAUAUGAUUAAUAUUGUCUCAUUUUCAUCGGUUAAACACAAAGGUAUGUUUUAAGUGAACUACAGUAGGUUUACUGUUGUUUUAAGGUUUUUGAUGUUUUUCUGUGCAGAAGAAUGAUCACUGUAAUGUCUGUUGCUCCACAGGUGUCAAUAAUUGUAUAAGACCAAUUACAGGUAUGAGAAAUGUCUUAUUUUUAAUAGGUAAAAUAGAAACAAGAUUUGUAUAGUUGCAUAGACAUGUUGUUUAGAAAUUAGUUAACCAGUUAUUAAUCAUAAUUAGUCCCACUGGUUUGUUUUAUACUACCACCACUUUUAACACCGACGCCUUUAACACCAGUGCCUGUGUUUCUGAAUGGUAUGCUUUGAAUUAACACUUGUACUAUAAAGUCCUGCAUAUUGUUUUACAUUUUCUCAUUUACAAACUGUAAAACCAUUUCUGGUUGGUUUUACAAUUUUUAUUAGUUGCUUUGACCUGUUUUGCUUAACUAGGUUCCACUUAUUUUCAUCAACACUAUUUAAGCAGAGCAUCAGGCACAUCAUCAGGCAAAACAGUUACAGUUUUUAUUGGUUGCUUUGACGUAGCCGUCCUGUGAAACAACACAUUCGCACAACAGUUCACACACAGAUCUAAACAGCUGCUCUUUGCCUUCAAACAAUAUAAUCUGCAAUGAAGCACAGCACCUCUACACACCCUCCAGCUUGUUUUGUUUAGGUUUUUUUGUUUUGUUUUGUUUUUUACUGUUUUAUUCCACUGCACUAAUUAUCAUAUUAGCACAGAUUAGGCCAGAAUUAUUCAUUUCUUCUGAAUUUCUAAUUCUAGAACCACCUACUACACCAACAAAACCACCAACAAAACCACCAACAACAACCACAACGGCACCACCAACAACAACCACAACGGCACCACCAACAACAACCACAACAACAACAGGAACACCACCAGAAGGUAUGAGAAAAUUUAAAAUUUACAGUAUUAUUUUAAGUGUCAUAACAACCUGUAUUUUACCAUUUACCACUGUAGCAACAGAAACGAAAUACAGUAAAGAAGAGAUUUAAGUUGUCAGCACCUUUAUAGCCUUAACAAUAGGGUGUGUAUGUUAUCUGCACAAAUAGUGAUGCUGUAGGUCUAUGAAAGAUACAUUUUAAAAUGAUUAUUGGAUACACUAAAAGUAAGUAAGCUAAGUAAGAUGAUGGUUCAAUGGUAUUUAAAUGACAAACAAUUUACAAAAUACUUUUAUCCGUUUUAACAAGGUUUGUGUUGUGUGUAAAAUCAGGCCUAUAACUUUAUUUAUUAAAAUCCAAGUGCAAGUGAAUAGAGGCCUAAGUAAACAUUUUUGUGUCAUUAAUCUGAAAACACCAAACCCACAUAGACGUGCAGUAAAAGACAUGUAUUGCAUUAACUAGUGAAGCAAAAAAUUAAACAAACUGACUUAAUGAUAGAACAAGUGAGGAUACAAAAGACAGUAUACCACUGUUUAGGCUUCAGUAUACUCAAAUUAAACAUGUUUUAUUGAUUCCUGAAAUUAAAUAAAAACAAUCCAAUAGCAGGACA